UACGUAGGGUGCAAGCGUUGUCCGGAAUUAUUGGGCGUAAAGAGCUCGUAGGCGGUUUGUCGCGUCUGCUGUGAAAAUCCAGGGCUUAACCCUGGACCUGCAGUGGGUACGGGCAGACUAGAGUGCGGUAGGGGAGAUCGGAAUUCCUAGUGUAGCGGUGAAAUGCGCAGAUAUCAGGAGGAACACCGGUGGCGAAGGCGGAUCUCUGGGCCGUAACUGACGCUGAGGAGCGAAAGCAUGGGGAGCGAACAGG
rnacentral:rRNA from 1 species